rnacentral:rRNA from 1 species
ACGAACGCUGGCGGCGUGCUUAACACAUGCAAGUCGAGCGGUAAGGCCCUUUCGGGGGUACACGAGCGGCGAACGGGUGAGUAACACGUGGGUGACCUGCCUUUAGCUCUGGGAUAAGCCUGGGAAACCGGGUCUAAUACCGGAUAUGGACUCCGCGGCGCAUGUUGUGGGGUGGAAAGCCUUGUGCGGCUGGAGAUGGGCCCGCGGCCUAUCAGCUUGUUGGUGGGGUGAUGGCCUACCAAGGCGACGACGGGUAGCCGGCCUGAGAGGGCGA